rnacentral:tRNA from 1 species
GGGGGCGUGGCGGAAUGGCAGACGCUACGGACUUAAAAUCCGUUGACCGUUUAGGUCGUGUGGGUUCAAGUCCCACCGCCCCCA